CGGACGGGUGAGUAACGCGUGGAAAACCUGCCGUAUACUGGGGGAUAACACUUAGAAAUAGGUGCUAAUACCGCAUAAGCGCACAGCUUCGCAUGAAGCGGUGUGAAAAACUCUGGUGGUAUACGAUGGUUCCGCGUCUGAUUAGCUAGUCGGUGGGGUAAUGGCCUACCAAGGCAACGAUCAGUAGCCGGCCUGAGAGGGUGAACGGCCACAUUGGGACUGAGACACGGCCCAAACUCCUACGGAAGGCAGCAG
rnacentral:rRNA from 1 species